UACGUAGGCAGCAAGCGUUGUUCGGAAUUACUGGGCGUAAAGAGUGUGUAGGCGGUUUUCUAAGUUCGGUGUGAAAUCUCCCGGCUUAACUGGGAGGGUGCGCCGAAAACUGGAAGGCUUGAGUGCCGGAGAGGAUAGCGGAAUUCCCAGUGUGGAGGUGAAAUUCGUAGAUAUUGGGAAGAACACCGGUGGCGAAGGCGGCGCUCUGGACCGAGACUGACGCUGAGGCACGAAAGCUAGGGGAGCAAACAGG
rnacentral:rRNA from 1 species